rnacentral:rRNA from 1 species
GACAGAGGUCUCAAGCGUUAGGCGGAAUCACUGGGCUUAAAGCGUGUGUAGGCGGAUGCCUAAGUACUUUGUGAAAUCCCCGGGCUUAACCCGGGAACUGCUUGGUAUACUGGGUGUCUUGAGCCAACUAGGGGCGACCGGAACAAACGGUGGAGCGGUGAAAUGCGUAGAUAUCGUUUGGAACGCCAAUGGUGAAAACAGGUCGCUGGGGUUGUGCUGACGCUGAGACACGAAAGCCAGGGGAG